UACGUAGGGUGCGAGCGUUGUCCGGAAUUAUUGGGCGUAAAGAGCUUGUAGGCGGUUUGUCGCGUUUGCUGUGAAAACCCGGGGCUCAACCCCGGGCCUGCAUUCGAUACGGGCAGACUAGAGUUCGGUAGGGGAGUCUGGAAUUCCUGGUGUAGCGGUGAAAUGCGCAGAUAUCAGGAGGAACACCGGUGGCGAAGGCGGGACUCUGGGCCGAUACUGACGCUGAGGAGCGAAAGCGUGGGGAGCAAACAGG
rnacentral:rRNA from 1 species